GGCUCAGAUGAAACGCUGGCGGAAUGCUUUACACAUGCAAGUCGAGCGGCAGCGCGGGGCAACCUGGCGGCGAGCGGCGAACGGGUGAGUAAUGCAUCGGAACAUGUCCAUUCGUGGGGGAUAGCCCGGCGAAAGCCGGAUUAAUACCGCAUACGCCCGAGAGGGGAAAGCAGGGGACCGCAAGGCCUUGCGCGAUUGGGUUGGCCGAUGUCCGAUUAGCUUGUUGGUGAGGUAAAGGCUUACCAAGGCGAUGAUCGGUAGCUGGUCUGAGAGGAUGAUCAGCCACACUGGGACUGAGACACGGCCCAGACUCCUACGGGAGGCAGCAGUGGGGAAUUUUGGACAAUGGGGGCAACCCUGAUCCAGCCAUUCCGCGUGAGUGAAGAAGGCCUUCGGGUUGUAAAGCUCUUUUGUCCGGAGCGAAACGGGCGGUCCUAAUACGAUCGUCUACUGACGGUACCGGAAGAAUAAGCACCGGCUAACUACGUGCCAGCAGCCGCGGUAAUACGUAGGGUGCGAGCGUUAAUCGGAAUUACUGGGCGUAAAGCGUGCGCAGGCGGUUUUGUAAGCCAGAUGUGAAAUCCCCGGGCUUAACCUGGGAAUGGCAUUUGGGACUGCAAGGCUGGAGUAUGGCAGAGGGGGCUAGAAUUCCUGGUGUAGCAGUGAAAUGCGUAGAUAUCAGGAGGAAUACCGAUGGCGAAGGCAGGCCCCUGGGUUAAUACUGACGCUCAUGCACGAAAGCGUGGGGAGCAAACAGGAUUAGAUACCCUGGUAGUCCACGCCCUAAACGAUGUCGACUGGUUGUUGGGGGUUUGACACUCUCAGUAACGAAGCUAACGCGUGAAGUCGACCGCCUGGGGAGUACGGCCGCAAGGUUUAAACUC
rnacentral:rRNA from 1 species